GACGAACGCUGGCGGCGUGCCUAAUACAUGCAAGUCGAGCGGACUGAAUGGGAGCUUGCUCUUGUUCGGUCAGCGGCGGACGGGUGAGUAACACGUGGGCAACCUGCCCGCAAGACCGGGAUAACUCCGGGAAACCGGAGCUAAUACCGGAUAACACCGAAGACCGCAUGGUCUUUGGUUGAAAGGCGGCGCAAGCUGCCACUUGCGGAUGGGCCCGCGGCGCAUUAGCUAGUUGGUGAGGUAACGGCUCACCAAGGCGACGAUGCGUAGCCGGCCUGAGAGGGUGACCGGCCACAAUGGGACUGAGACACGGCCCAGACUCCUACGGGAGGCAGCAGUAGGGAAUCUUCCGCAAUGGGCGAAAGCCUGACGGAGCGACGCCGCGUGAGCGAAGAAGGCCUUCGGGUCGUAAAGCUCUGUUGUGAGGGACGAAGGAGCGCCGUUUGAAGAAGGCGGCGCGGUGACGGUACCUCACGAGGAAGCCCCGGCUAACUACGUG
rnacentral:rRNA from 1 species